rnacentral:rRNA from 1 species
AAUUGAAGAGUUUGAUCAUGGCUCAGAUUGAACGCUGGCGGCAGGCCUAACACAUGCAAGUCGAGCGGUAACAGAAAGUAGCUUGCUACUUUGCUGACGAGCGGCGGACGGGUGAGUAAUGCUUGGGAACAUGCCUUGAGGUGGGGGACAACAGUUGGAAACGACUGCUAAUACCGCAUAAUGUCUACGGACCAAAGGGGGCUUCGGCUCUCGCCUUUAGAUUGGCCCAAGUGGGAUUAGCUAGUUGGUGAGGUAAUGGCUCACCAAAGGCAACGAUCCCUAGCUGGUUUGAGAGGAUGAUCAGCCACACUGGAACUGAGACACGGUCCAGACUCCUACGGGAGGCAGCAGUGGGGAAUAUUGCACAAUGGGCGAAAGC